GUGAGCAGCUGAGGCUGUCAGGAUGACUUGCCCCUGUGYCUCUGUGGUGGCAUGAGGAACGGAGCCUGGAACACCUGAGUCAUGAACUGCCCAGUCCCGUCACAGCCAUCCUCCAUUUUGGUCUCAGUGUAAUUAAGUAAUGCAGAUUAUGCUACCUCUGUCUUUGAAGGCUCAUUGCAAAAAAAAAAAAAAAAACUCUGGAACAAGGUCCGACAAGCACAGGACUUGGAUCACAUCAUUGCGGCUCAUGAGGUUUUUCUGGACACAAUCAUCGCUYGGUGCUUGCUGGAUAGUGACUCCAGGGUAAGUUGUUACCUUUGCGUUAAGCUGUAGCUUUUGUGAUCUUGGCUCAUGGGUUAGCAGUUCUCCUCUGUUAUGUUACAGGAACACUGGGAAAAGUCAUUUUUCCCCCUCUGAUAUAAGACUUGUGGUAGGCUUUGUACCUAGUCCCUGCACACACACGUGGGUGCUGAUUAUAAAACUUGCUGCAAUGAUGU
rnacentral:lncRNA from 1 species